UCCACAGACAGGCAACAGCUUUAGGGACAGA
rnacentral:piRNA from 1 species